AUGGCAGAAAUUCAAUGCAUUAGUUUUAGGGGCUAAAAAUAAGAAAUCUUUUCUUUU
rnacentral:tRNA from 1 species